UGACAGUACUCCUACGGGGAGGCAGCAGUGGGGGAAUAUUGCACAAUGGGCGCAAGCCUGAUGCAGCCAUGCCGCGUGUGUGAAGAAGGCCUUCGGGUUGUAAAGCACUUUCAGUCGUGAGGAAGGUAGUGUAGUUAAUAGCUGCAUUAUUUGACGUUUAGCGACAGAAGAAGACACCGGCUAACUCCGUGCCAGCAGCCGCGGUAAUACGGGAGGGUGCGAGCGUUAAUCGGAAUUACUGGGCGUAAAGCGCAUGCAGGUGGUUUGUUAAGUCAGAUGUGAAAGCCCGGGGCUCAACCUACGGAAUAAGCAUUUAGUAAACUAGGCAGACUAGAGUACUGUAGAGGGGGGUAGGAAUUUCAGGUGUAGCGGUGAAAUGCGUAGAGAUCUGAAGGAAUACCGGUGGCGAAGGCGGCCCCCUGGACAGAUACUGACACUCAGAUGCGAAAGCGUGGGGAGCAAACAGGAUUAGAUACCCUGGUAG
rnacentral:rRNA from 1 species